AAGUCGUAACAAGGUAACCGUAGGUGAACCUGCGGUUGGAUCAUUAAAGAAUUUUAAAGGUUGAAUGACCUUUAGCUUUAAUUUUGGGUUGGUUCUUUUUACUAAGGCCAAUUCCAUUACACCUUGUGUGCACUGUAAAUGUCUUUGGUGGGAGUUUUUAAAUUGAAUUACUUUGUAACUUCAAUUAUCGCCCACCAAAAUUUAAUUUAAACAUUGUUUUAUUUAUGUCUUGAAUUCAAUUAUUUAAAUUGAAAACAACUUUUGACAACGGAUCUCUUGGCUCUC
rnacentral:misc_RNA from 1 species